UACGGGGGGGGCAAGCGUUGUUCGGAAUUACUGGGCGUAAAGGGCUCGUAGGCGGCCAACUAAGUCAGACGUGAAAUCCCUCGGCUCAACCGGGGAACUGCGUCCGAUACUGGAUGGCUUGAGUUUGGGAGAGGGACGCGGAAUUCCAGGUGUAGCGGUGAAAUGCGUAGAUAUCUGGAGGAACACCGGUGGCGAAGGCGGCGUCCUGGACCAACACUGACGCUGAUGCGCGAAAGCCAGGGGAGCAAACGGG
rnacentral:rRNA from 1 species